GCUCACUUCAGAUGCACAAAUACUAAAAUUGGAAUGAUACAGAGAAGAUUAGCAUGGCCCCUGUGCAAAGAUGCCAUGCAAAUUUGUGAAGCAUUCAAUUUUUUU
ensembl:snRNA U6 U6 spliceosomal RNA